rnacentral:rRNA from 1 species
UGGGGAAUUUUGGACAAUGGGCGCAAGCCUGAUCCAACCAUGCCGCGUGCGGGAAGAAGGCCUUCGGGUUGUAAACCGCUUUUGUCAGGGAAGAAAUCUUCUGAGUUAAUACCUCGGGAGGAUGACGGUACCUGAAGAAUAAGCACCGGCUAACUACGUGCCAGCAGCCGCGGUAAUACGUAGGGUGCAAGCGUUAAUCGGAAUUACUGGGCGUAAAGCGUGCGCAGGCGGUUUUGUAAGACAGAGGUGAAAUCCCCGGGCUCAACCUGGGAACUGCCUUUGUGACUGCAAGGCUUGAGUGCGGCAGAGGGGGAUGGAAUUCCGCGUGUAGCAGUGAAAUGCGUAGAUAUGCGGAGGAACACCGAUGGCGAAGGCAAUCCCCUGGGCCUGCACUGACGCUCAUGCACGAAAGCGUGGGGAGCAAACAGGAUUAGAUACCCUGGUAGUCCACGCCCUAAACGAUGUCAACUGGUUGUUGGGAAGGUUCCUUCUCAGUAACGUAGCUAACGCGUGAA